rnacentral:rRNA from 1 species
UACGGAGGGUCCAAGCGUUAUCCGGAAUCAUUGGGUUUAAAGGGUCCGUAGGCGGUUUUGUAAGUCAGUGGUGAAAGCCCAUCGCUCAACGGUGGAACGGCCAUUGAUACUGCAAGACUUGAAUUAUUGGGAAGCAACUAGAAUAUGUAGUGUAGCGGUGAAAUGCUUAGAGAUUACAUGGAAUACCAAUUGCGAAGGCAGGUUGCUACCAAUACAUUGACGCUGAUGGACG